AUUGACAAAGAAAUAUGAACUAUAGAUUGGGAUGACAAUAAAUUUAAUUGAAUUUUUAUUUAGGUUAGCAUUGAUUCUUAGUGGCUAGUUUAGAAUUUUAACAAAUGUAUAAAUAUAUGUGGUUUAUACCUUAAGCAAGGAUGAUGAAGUAAAGGCUCGACGGGGAGUUUAUAAUGAAUAGAGGCUAAGUAGCUAUCAAACGAGAAUAGUUGAAUUUAAUUUAUCGAUGCAAGUUUUAUUUAUAAAGUGUACAUUUAUUUGAUAAUUAGUUAGAGGACAAUUAACAAUAUCAUUUGAACAUGUUGGAGGUUAUUAUAAUUUGUAA
rnacentral:lncRNA from 1 species